rnacentral:rRNA from 1 species
CCAAUAGCGUAUAUUAAAGUUGUUGCAGUUAAAAAGCUCGUAGUUGAAUUUUGGGUCUGGCCGGGCGGUCCGCCCUCUGGGUGAGCACUGUUCCGACGUCGGGCCUAUCCUUCUGGUGAGUCGGCAUGUCCUUUAUUGGGUGUGUCGGGGAACCAGGACCAUUACCUUGAAAAAAUUAGAGUGUUCAAAGCAGGCGUAUGCUCGGAUACAUUAGCAUGGAAUAAUGAGAUAGGACGCGUGGUGCUAUUUUGUUGGUUUCUAGAACCGCCGUAAUGAUUAAUAGGGAUAGUUGGGGGCAUUAGUAUUCAAUUGUCAGAGGUGAAAUUCUUGGAUUUAUUGAAGACUAACUUCUGCGAAAGCAUUUGCCAAGGAUGUUUUCAUUAAUCAAGAACGAAAGUUAGGGGAUCGAAGACGAUCAGAUACCGUCGUAGUCUUAACCAUAAACUAUGCCGACUAGGAAUCGGGCGAUGUUAUUCUCAUGACUCGCCCGGCGCCUUAUG